rnacentral:rRNA from 1 species
CCUACGGGUGGCUGCAGUGGGGAAUAUUGCACAAUGGGCGAAAGCCUGAUGCAGCAACGCCGCGUGAGUGAUGAAGGCCUUCGGGUUGUAAAGCUCUGUCCUCAAGGAAGAUAAUGACGGUACUUGAGGAGGAAGCCCCGGCUAACUACGUGCCAGCAGCCGCGGUAAUACGUAGGGGGCUAGCGUUAUCCGGAAUUACUGGGCGUAAAGGGCGCGUAGGUGGUUUUUUAAGUCAGAGGUGAAAGGCCACGGCUCAACCGUGGUACGCCUUUGAUACUGGGAAACGUGAGUACGGGAGAGGAGAGUGGAAUUCCUAGUGUAGAGGUGAAAUGCGGAGAUAUUAGGAGGAACACCAGUUGCGAAGGCGGCUCUCUGGACUGUAACUGACGCUGAGGCACGAAAGCGUGGGGAGCAAACAGGAUUAGAUACCCCUGUAGUC